CCAACCCGGAAUACAUUCAGUUUGCCACCAGAGCUCGUCUGGAGCACAACUUGUCUCGGAACAAGAAAUGAAAAACAAAAUUUUUCAAAAUUAUUGUGUAACUGAGUUCAUGCUGUUGUUAACAUUCACACUCGCCAUUGCUUUCUUUGGUGACGGAAAAGCAAUGGCAUCGGCUUGCAAAGCAACUGGUUAACAAAAAAACAAAAAAACGAAAAACUUAGGCGAAGGGACAAGACUCAUUUAUCAUUUUGACAUUUUUCCCACGGCUUGCUAUGGUAAAGCUUUAAGAUCGAUGGUACCGGUCCUGCUGGACAAGUAGUUUGCAUCGGAUUUAACGCAACUCGUAUCUAUAUAUAUAAAUAUAUCGACUUUAUACUACGUGCUUAUAUGUAUACACUUUCCCAACAUUUGCGUGACAAUUUAAAAAUACAUUCAAUUUAAAUGAA
rnacentral:sRNA from 1 species